CCCGGACCUCAGCUGGCGGGCGGCCCGGGGCGCACACGGUCCGGGCUAGGGCUAGGGCGGCGUUGCCAAGGUGACCCCGCGCUGGGCUGGGGACGGGCAGUGGCGACGAUACCAUGAGCAGCCGGAAGCGCAGCUUCACCUUCGGUGCCUAUGGAGGGGUGGACAAAUCCUUCUCCCCUCGACAGAGUGUGUGGAGGAGUGAUGGACAGAAGCAGAGCUUUCCCCAGGCACUAAACCUGUUACUAGUGGACUCAGUCCCCUCCCACCCUGCUUCACCCUACCCUAAGAACACAGAUCUGUUUGAGAUGAUUGAGAAGAUGCAGGGAAGCAGGAUGGAUGAACAACGAUGCUCCUUCCCGCCACCCCUCAAGACGGAGGAGGACUACAUUCCCUACCCAAGUGUCCAUGAGGUUUUGGGGCGAGAAGGGCCCUUCCCCCUCAUCCUGCUGCCCCAGUUUGGGGGCUACUGGAUUGAAGGCACCAACCACGAAAUCAGCAGCAUCCCUGAGACAGAGCCUCUGCAGUCUCCCACCACCAAGGUCAAGCUGGAGUGCAACCCCACAGCCCGAAUCUACCGGAAGCACUUUCUUGCCAAGGAGCACUUCAAUUACUAUUCACUGGACACUGCGCUUGGCCACCUGGUCUUCUCACUCAAGUAUGAUGUCAUCGGGGAUCAAGAGCACCUGCGGCUAUUGCUUAGGACCAAGUGUCGGACCUACCAUGAUGUCAUCCCCAUCUCCUGCCUCACUGAGUUCCCCAAUGUGGUCCAGAUGGCAAAGCUGGUAUGUGAAGAUGUCAAUGUGGAUCGAUUCUACCCUGUGCUUUACCCUAAGGCCUCCAGGCUCAUCGUCACCUUUGACGAACAUGUUAUCAGCAAUAACUUCAAGUUUGGAGUCAUUUAUCAGAAGCUCGGCCAGACCUCUGAGGAAGAACUAUUCAGCACCAACGAGGAAAGUCCUGCCUUUGUGGAAUUCCUUGAGUUUCUGGGCCAGAAAGUCAAACUGCAGGAUUUCAAGGGGUUCCGAGGAGGCCUGGACGUGACUCACGGGCAGACGGGGACCGAGUCCGUAUACUGCAACUUCCGCAACAAGGAGAUCAUGUUUCACGUGUCCACCAAGCUGCCAUACACAGAAGGGGACGCCCAGCAGUUGCAGCGGAAGCGGCAUAUUGGGAACGACAUCGUUGCCGUGGUCUUCCAGGACGAAAACACACCCUUCGUGCCAGACAUGAUUGCAUCCAACUUUCUGCAUGCCUAUGUGGUUGUGCAGGCAGAGGGGGGUGGCCCCGAUGGCCCCCUCUACAAGGUCUCAGUCACUGCUAGAGACGAUGUUCCCUUUUUCGGGCCUCCCCUCCCGGAUCCUGCUGUGUUCAGGAAGGGGCCUGAGUUCCAGGAAUUUCUGCUGACGAAGUUGAUCAACGCUGAGUACGCAUGCUACAAAGCAGAGAAGUUUGCCAAACUGGAGGAGCGGACACGUGCAGCCCUUCUGGAGACACUCUACGAGGAGCUCCAUAUCCACAGCCAGUCCAUGAUGGGCCUCGGCAGCGACGAUGACAAGAUGGAGAACGGCAGCGGUGGGGGUGGCUUCUUUGAGUCUUUCAAGAGGGUCAUCCGGAGCCGGAGCCAGUCCAUGGAUGCCAUGGGACUAAGCAACAAGAAACCCAGCACCGUAUCUACUAGCCACAGUGGGAGCUUCACCCCCAACAACCCUGACCUGGCCAAGGCAGCUGGCAUAUCAUUGCUUAUUCCCGGGAAAAGCGCGAGUAGAUUCGGACGCCGGGGCAGCGCCUUAGGCAUAGGAGCUGUGGAAGAGUCCCUGAUUGUCCCUGGAAAGAGCCCCACAAGGAAGAAGUCUGGUCCAUUUGGCUCACGCCGCAGCAGCGCCAUUGGCAUCGAGAACAUCCAGGAGGUGCAGGAGAAGAGGGAGAGCCCACCAGCUGGCCAGAAGACCCCAGACAGCGGGCAUGUCUCACAGGAGCCCAAGUCAGAGAACUCAUCCACUCAGAGCUCCCCGGAGAUGCCCACAACCAAGAACAGAGUGGAGUCGGCUGCUCAGAGGACGGAAGUGCUGCAGGGCUUUUCCAGGUCUUCCUCCAGCGCCAGCAGCUUCACCAGUGUGGUGGAGGAGACGGAGGGCGUAGACGGGGAUGAUACAGGCCUGGAGAGCGUGUCGUCCUCAGGAACGCCCCAUAAGCGGGACUCCUUCCUCUACAGCACAUGGCUGGACGACAGCGUGAGCACCACGAGCGGGGGCAGCUCCCCAGUGAGGUGGCUCCCUCCUGCCCCCCUUCCCAGGCCUCACACGGUCACCCCACCCAGACGCCGGCAAGUUGGGGGACCCUGCGUGUCCCGAGAUCAAGAUCCAACUGGAAACAUCUGAGCAGCACACACCCCAGAUGGGCUGCUAGCUGCCACCUCAUCAGCAGGCGGGACUGAGCAGACGAGGCCCCAGAAGCACAAGAAGAUGCCGCACCACAUCCAGGCAGCUGGCCCUCUGCCCCACAGCCACCCCAGCCCCUGCGUCCCUCCCUCCAAGCCCUGGGCCCGCCCAUCUGGGCUGUCUCCGCAGGGCGGAGCCAUCCAGAGCUCUCAGAGUGGAUGCUGCCGUUAUCAGCCCCCACCCCAGGCUGGAGCUCUGGGUGUGGCCAGGGACUGUGGCCCUGGAUCGCCCUCACUUGGGCCUCUGUCACACCGGGUUCCCCUCUGGAGCCAUGGGGAACAGGGUAGGAAAAGGAGAAGGAGCACCGUGGGCGCACACCCCACGGCAGAAGCAGCAGGUGCAGGGUGUGCAAAGGAGCAGGCACCAGGCAACCAGGCAGAGCAUCUGUGCGGCUUCUGCUGUGGGAUCUGGGCCAGGCAUCCUCAUUCUCUGGGCUUCUCUGCUGCAAGUGGACAAGAGUAUUUCAGAGAUCACCGAAGACUGAUUCCGUGUUCCUGCCCCAGAAGGGGGUCAUUGUCCUACGGACCGCCUUUCACGCUGACUGCUUCCUGAGGCCCCAGGUGGGCUAAGGGGCCGGGGCUGCUGUACCCAUCGCCCAACCUGAGUCCCCAGCUUUACCACAGAGCUGCCAACGUCCUUUCACUGUCUCCACAUGAUGGCCCAACAUCCUCUCCUGGGGAUAGGGCCAUCCCUGACUCCUCAUCAAGCACCGAGCUUAACCCUGCCACCCCACACUCCCAGGCGUACCGGGCUGAGGGGGUCUCAGCUGGUCUGGAGUCCAGACCUCGCCAUCCCCUGCCCACCACUGCUGUGGAGGGGGCUGCCAGGCAUAGCUGCUGUGAGCCAUGUCCUUGUGUGUAUCUGUUCAUUCUUAGGAGCCACGCCCAAGGCGAGGCUUCCAGCCCAAACACCCACUUUGGAAGCCCUGUGGCCACAUGUAUGUCAGUAAGGGUUGUACAAAAUAAAUUCUAUUUAUCGCUAUUGUA